rnacentral:rRNA from 1 species
CGGAGGGUGCAAGCGUUAUCCGGAUUCACUGGGUUUAAAGGGUGCGUAGGUGGGCAAGUAAGUCAGUGGUGAAAUCUCCGGGCUUAACCCGGAAACUGCCAUUGAUACUAUUUGUCUUGAAUACUGUGGAGGUCAGCGGAAUAUGUCAUGUAGCGGUGAAAUGCUUAGAUACGACACAGAACACCAAUUGCGAAGGCAGCUGGCUACACAAAUAUUGACACUGAGGCACGAAAGCGUGGGGAUCAAACAGGAUUAGAUACCCUGGUAGUCCACGCCCUAAACUAUGGAUACUCGACACUUGCGAUAAACUGCAAGUGUCUGAGCGAAAGCAUUAAGUAUCCCACCUGGGAAGUACGAUCGCAAGAUUG